ensembl:lncRNA
GGGUGAAAUUGGAAUUCAUGAUACAUUUCCUCAUAAAUGUAAGCCCUUAACUGCGUGAUGUAAUGUCCCUUUCGUUCACAGUAAAGUCAUGUAGUGCUAGGCAGAUAUUUAACACGCUCUAAGAGAAGCUUGUUGGGGGGAGGGGAAAUGUUUUCCUUGUGGUUAAUGAACUUGGGUUGCCAAGGGUAUUUUGCAUGAUGCUGCUGCUAUUUUAACUUUCGGGUUUGUUUUUCUUCUUACUGUAGAGUAUAGUCCAUUGACAAGUUAACUGGGUGACAUUAUUGUCAUGUAAGAACCUGAACCUUGCAGUGUACAUGCAUUUAAGUCAUCCUUAACAUGUUGUUAAACUACUCUGAAUAUACUGUGCAAUGGAAAUGCCGAACGGCUGGGUUAGGCAGACGUCGAAGUGAGACUUCAUGGAUUUUAUACAGACUCAUGCUUUUGCCUGAAAUCCUAUGUACAGAUAUUUUAAGUACAUAAAUCAGAUUUAACACAUUUAUUUUUUGAAAGGUACAUAUACGUUCUCAAUGAAGAUUUAUCCUAGGUUUCCUCUUUGUUCGUCUCCAUAGUAGCAUGUACAAUCUAGAAACUGCUGCUCUUGCUGCCUCUGCCCCUCCAUUUUGGUAUGAUCAUAUGACCGAAAUUCCAAUACAACUUCAUGAGGGUUUUUACAUUAACCUGAACAAAUAGGAAACCUUGAAUCUAUGUGUAUGCACAUGAACACUUGAUUGUGAAUAAUAAAAUUUGUUUUUAUACAGCCUCCUUGGUGAAAAGCAUUAGUGUAGUAGAUCAGAAAUUUCAUUAUAGAUUAAUAUGGUAGCAAAACUUUAUUUAUGCUUCUAAAAAUUAUUUUCAGGAAUAAACAGUAUUUGAAGAAUGGGUAAAAACAAUGAAUGUGUCUAGGGAGAGUAAUUUUACUGAAUGCUGAAAGUAUACAUAUAUUUUUUAUGGUCAAUGAAAUUUUCUUUUCUUUUUAGUUAAACAUGCCAAGUAUUGGUGUGUGCAUAUGCUGGAAAUUUUCAUAUAUAUUAUUUUUCCAUCUGAGUUAUUUAUGUUCUCCAGCAUACUUUAAUAUGCUCCACAUAUCAGUGUUGCAGUCAACACUUUAACAUAGUUCAUUGUUUUGAUUAUAGCUUUGCAUCCAUUGUAAUUCCUUCCAACCACCAUGCUAUCCUAAGUAACAUUUGUGUACAUCUUGUAAGUUAAUAUUUUGCUUUAACUUAAAAGGGAGGUAGGGGCAAGUGGAGUCUCUCUGCCAACUAUUGUCCUAAGAAAUGGCAUCAGUCACCCCUUCUAAUGUGUUGUCACUCUUUUAAUCUUUUCUUAACUGCUGUUCACAUUUUAAAAAGUAAGAAGGUGGUGGAAAGGUAGAAGACAUAUGUUUAAAUCAUGCUGUUUGUUAAUUACUUCAAACGUAGUAUUACCCUUAUAGCUAGGCUCUUUUAAAUCAUGCCCACGUUGGGGAAGGGAACAGCUGGUUUGCACAUAUAAGUGAUGCACAUAAAAAAACAUUAAAUUGCUUCUGGCAAACAACAGUCUGCCUUAAAUUAUGUUUAAAGUGGAUUGACUACGUAUUUCAUGGCUAAUGUCACUUACAGAGUGUACUAACACCAGUGAAAUUAUUGUUGUAUGUACCACUGUUGAACUCGGUGUCUCUGGGCAGAGCCCUGUGUGAUUUGAGUUCUACAUCCUUACAAAUACAUACAUGAUACCUAAUUGGGCACAAACACGCCUCUGACUAAAAUUGGUUUUUCAUGACAGAUACUAAUACUUGUGCUUUCCAAUAUUUUUAAUGACAGUAAAACUCAUCCCAUCAAAAUGAUUAUAUUAAAUUUUACAUUUUUUUUUUGCAAAUUCUGUUGGCCAAAAAUAGUACAGUCUAUUCCCAGAAACCAAACUAUAGAAAAGAUCAUUUUAAAAAGCUUUUAAACUGUUUUCACUUAAUUGUUGCUAUCCUCAUGUAGCUCAGUGCACUUUAUCACGUAAACAAAGUCAAAAUGAGUCCUGCAAUGGUGUUGAGUAGCAGAAAAGAAUUUUUGCAUAAAUGGUUUCAUCUUUUCUUCAUUUGAACAACCAGCAUUACUGCCGAACACCAAUCGUGGUCCACAUUUGUACCAGGUUUUUAACAUGACAUAGUUAGCAAGUUUGAUUGACGAGAUUUUUAGGUCCUGGGCCUACAAGAUUUUAGUAUGGUCUUUUUUCAUGUUUCUAAUGCUUGAAGCAUUACUGCUUACCUUGGGAAACACAGCAUUGCUGCCAUUUGUAAGUUUUCCUAUAUAUAAUAUUCCUUUUAUUAACUGUAAAACUGGCCUUACGGGGUUCAAAUAGGCAGUAUCCCUUUUAAGUGACCUUUGCAACCCAAGUGUUACUUGCUUAUUUGAUGCUCUCUUGUACUUCACAUCUCAUUUGAAAGCCUGUCUUGGAGUCACCAAAGCUUCAAUCCUCAUCUUAAUUUAAAACCAAUGGCACAGAGUAUAACCUAGUGAGACACAAUGGAUUUUGUGAUUUUGUUUCUCCACUUGCCCCAAAUUCCAAUUAUUUUAUCAUUCGCUGGAGCUUGCAUUGUUCUCCAUGGCAGAAUGUUGAUAUGGUCACUAUCUGGUGUAUAUUUCUGUAAAGAGCAAAUCACUAAAACAGAACUAUCAGGUCAUGAAAAUGGCCAGAAUUUUGCAGAAAUAGAUUGCUGUUACGGGAGGUUUCAUCUACCUUGUUUCUAGUUCACACAAAAAAGAACCAUGGAAAUUCCACUGAGACUCCUGGCAUGCUGUCCGGUGUAAAUGCCAAUUGAGUUUCCAAUGUGACCUGGCCAAGCUGUUCUUUCCUUGUGCGGUAUGACUGUGGGAUCAUGUUUUAGGGAUUCUCUUCAUGAAAUGCUCAUUGUGCAUCAAGCAAAACGCCAAGUGGCUUUUGUGAACAACAGAUUUUUUUUUCUCCCCCUUAUUAUGUUCUCUGGACACUUUUGUGGAAAUUAACUAGUCGGAUGAACACAUUUUGUAAAAAUUUGUAUAAUACUGUUAUAAAAAAUAUUUAUAAUCCCAGAAAAUGUUGUGUUAAAUCUUGUGCAAAAACAGUAUAUUCAGAAUAAAAGUUUAUCAUU